GCCGGGGUGGCGGAACUGGUAGACGCAAGGGACUUAAAAUCCCUCGAGUUUUUUACUCGUGCCGGUUCGAUUCCGGCCCUCGGCACCA
rnacentral:tRNA from 1 species